AAAAUGACUCUCGGCAACGGAUAUCUCGGCUCUCGCAUCGAUGAAGAACGCAGCGAAAUGCGAUACUUGGUGUGAAUUGCAGGAUCCCGCGAACCAUCGAGUCUUUGAACGCAAGUUGCGCCCAAAGCCUUUUGGCCGAGGGCACGUCUGCCUGGGUGUCAC
rnacentral:rRNA from 1 species